CCCAGCGUAUGAAAAACCUGUAAUUGCAAAGGGGUUGCUCUGAAAAGGCUACAAAUCUGCCUGGAGUUGCAAGGAAAUCUGAGCCUCCAACACUGAAAGAACAGGGCAUUUCUCUGCUGACUCAAAGAGAGGAAGGUCUGAGCCCUUCUCAGCCUCACAACUGCACUUUCCUACUUCAUGGUGCACCAUGCAAAUUCCUCUGGGGAAGCCUGCAAUGCUCCUCUGGAUGCUGAUCAUCAGCUUUGCUGCAGCCCUUAAAGGUACACUUUCUCCUAUAAAGAUGGUAGCAUCUGGUCCCAAGGAGGGGAAGGUCUCUGGAUCACUUCCACUCACCUGUACUGUAAUGGGAGCACCUCUGGAUAGCCCUCGGUAUGACUGGAAUUUUGUCCGUCAGGCCCCAGGAGACACACUGAUGUGGAUUCUGACCCACCUGCGCAAUUGACCAGCGGGAGACUGGAGACAGGACCAGGACGAGAGACCAGGACAAAGACGACAAAGGACUAGAAUCAACAAAGACCCCCACAGGAGACCCUCGAGCAUGCAUAAUUACAAAGAUAGCCAAUUCCAGGAAAUAAAAUGACUAUGUAGAAGAAUUCUGGGAACUCAUUGACAUGGAACUGAAUAUGCAUGUUUUUGAUGUAUAUUAGUUGGGGUGCUUCACUAACUUGUCGGAGGUGGAUAAUUCUUGUCAUGGUGGAUAAUUCCCCAGUGCUGCCCAGCGCUGCAAUAAGGAAUGCCUGCUCAAUAACAGCUUGGUUGUUGUUAUUGGGUCUUGAUCUCGGAAUCCUUACCCACCCGCACCCAGCCUCCCACUGCGCUGAGGAGUGUUAGAAAGCAAGGGCGUUUGGAAGCUCCGAAUUUUUGUUUCAGCCAUGACACAUCCUUCCCAAAUGAAACUCAGGUACCCUGAAGAAAAAUGUAGAACCCAAUCUUGUCACUGCCACCUGUUGCUGCCAUCCCCUAAACCACGCUUCACAUACAUUCAGUAAGUCGUGGGAUAGGAAAAAAAAAAAAAAUGUGAGGUUGAAUUCAGUCUUUUAAUCAUUUUCUUGAAGCAGUCAAAAAUCAGAAGCUGGGAAGCUCUUACAGCAAAAGGCAAAAGAGAGAGACAGUUUGAAAAGAGAUAAAUUCUGACAUCGAUUGAACCUGUCCUGAUCUAAGGAAAACCAGACGGCCACCCUUGGUAAAAAGGACUAACACAUAAGGAGUAAACAGGAUGGCAUUGCUUAGCAUAGAUAAGGCUUGGAAUGUAUAGAUAAGACUUAGAAUGUAUCGAUAAGGCUUGGAUUGUGAGGGAGGGUAUUGUGUAAGAGGAUGUUCCCCCAGAAACUUGCUGAGAAGGCUCCCACGUGGAGCAGACCCCAGAAAGGAAUGCCAGAGGUGAAAAGUGCACAGCGAUGAAGACAUACGGCCUUCAUCCCAGAGACCCCCGCCCGCGACCACUGCGCAGACGCAGCAAGGAGGAGCCCGGAGGGGGCAACUAUGAUACUGAUUUCCGGGAACUAAUUGUAAUAACCCCUCCCUGUCCUCGGACACCUAAUGUAUAUGCAACAACAUGGAUGAAUAUGUAUUACUUUGUGUCAUAUAAUGAGCUUGCCAGCAGCUGCAGGGUGUGCACGCGUGGGGAGGAGCACCCCGUGCACCCAGCGCUGGAUAAACAUACCUUCUUGAUAACCUUACUGGUU